AAGAGUAGUUACCAGUCAGGUGCUGCUAAGCUAGGCCAGGGAAGAGUAGUUACCAGUCAGGUGCUGCUAAGCUAGGCCAGGGAAGAGUAGUUACCAGUCAGGUGCUGCUAAGCUAGGUUAGGAAGAGUAGUUACCAGUCAGGUGCUGCUAAGCUAGGCCAGGGAAGAGUAGUUACCAGUCAGGUGCUGCUAAGCUAGGCUAGGGAAGAGUAGUUACCAGUCAGGUGCUGCUAAGCUAGGCUAGGGAAGAGUAGUUACCAGUCAGGUGCUGCUAAGCUAGGCCAGGGAAGAGUAGUUACCAGUCAGGUGCUGCUAAGCUAGGCUAGGGAAGAGUAGUUACCAGUCAGGUGCUGCUAAGCUAGGCUAGGGAAGAGUAGUUACCAGUCAGGUGCUGCUAAGCUAGGCCAGGGAAGAGUAGUUACCAGUCAGGUGCUGCUAAGCUAGGCUAGGGAAGAGUAGUUACCAGUCAGGUGCUGCUAAGCUAGGCUAGGGAAGAGUAGUUACCAGUCAGGUGCUGCUAAG